rnacentral:rRNA from 1 species
UACGGAGGGGGCUAGCGUUGUUCGGAAUUACUGGGCGUAAAGCGCGCGUAGGCGGACCUGCAAGUCGGGGGUGAAAGCCCGAGGCUCAACCUCGGAACUGCCUUCGAUACUGCGGGUCUCGAGUCCGGGAGAGGUGAGUGGAAUUCCUAGUGUAGAGGUGAAAUUCGUAGAUAUUAGGAAGAACACCAGUGGCGAAGGCGGCUCACUGGCUCGGUACUGACGCUGAGGCGCGAAAGCGUGGGGAGCAAACGGG